UGAUAUAGAUGAGGCGGAGUUUGACACAAGCAUGUAUCAUUUCAGUGAGCAUAUACCUCGAGCGAGGGAUAGCAAGAGUUUGAGCGAAGCUCACAGGAACAACAGCAAGCUGCAGAAGUGGUGCAAGAAACAUGAUAAGUUACUCGCCAACUCCCUCAGGACAUGCCCUCGAGGAGAUAUGACGCGCCUAAGCCAAGUCG
rnacentral:pre_miRNA from 1 species